AAUUACUCGAGAUGGAUUGGGAUACAUAUUCGUUAAUAAUAUAUCUAGAGUAUGAUUUAUUCAUCUAAGUAGAGAAAUCUCUAAAUAGAGACACUUCUUUUUAGAGAAGGGUAAAAAUCUCGGCACGGCUUAGUCUGCUAUUUUUUUUUGACAGAGUGGAUUCGGACCGCCACUUCUCUGAAAGCAUGGUUCUUGCCUCCCUCUCUCCCCCUUCCUUGGGGGUCGCCCAUUCAUUGGGUGAUCCCUUGCUCUCACGUUCGAGUGUUUGCUCGUCGUUUAGGCCGGUGAGUGACAUUUUUGCUCAUUGCCUUUCUUUAUGUUGUUGCCAGCACUUUCCUGGGCCGAGCCAGAAUUCUUUAUUAGAACGUCGGCAGGCAAAGCCCGCGAAGCUGGGCGUUCUGUGUGAUUAUGGAGGAAUUGUAGUACUCGCCCCCAAAAUGCAAGCCGGGAUAGAUGCUUAAAGAAAGGGGGAGCAGUGGGCCUUCAAAAAGGAGCGAGGGAGUGAUGGGUAACCUUAGUCUAUAUGUUGCUCGUGAGCCCCCAAGUACCAGUCUCGCAACACUACUGGCGUUAAAGGAUCGGUCCUUCACUUGCGGGUCGUUCGCGAGUCGAACUCGCUCUCUUGCCACCAAUUCAUGGACCAUUCUCUUUGAUUCUUUUUCACCGACGGUCAUAGUGCUUUCAGGCGAUAUAGCAAAACAGCCAUAAAGACUGUUCAUUGUCAUUUUAUGAAUGAAUUCUAAGGCGUAAAGAUAGCCGAGACCGAGGAUAGGUGCCGAUCUGUUUUACGGGCAGUAAGUACCGUUGUUCGAAAGGAAAGGUUGGCAUUGCCUAAACCAAGGAUAGGUUUGACCCUAGCUCAUUCUUCAACAGGCACGCGGUCAGAGAUCACUUUCCCCAUGGUUCUGUUUCUGUGCAAGCAACUAUUGCCUUACUUGAGGAUGAGUUUUCCCCUUGCUUUGCAACAACCAAAUUCCCUUUUCUUCCAAGCAAGACCUAUUCCUUUUCAAAUUCGUACUUCUGCAAAGCUUUAGGGUUUAGAGAAAGGGUCUUUCUUACCCUGGAUUUAUUUCUAUUCCUAUUUAGCUGGGCAAUUCUAGUUUUUGUUAUGAUGAUCUCAUGGAUAGUAGUAUUUAGUUCUUCUUUUACAUUCAGAUUGGUAGGGGGAAGUAAGCUUGGAGGGUUUUACCAGUGUGCGGCAUUUAACAACAUUUGUAUGUCGUUCCAACUUUCCAAAAAACCCAGUCUCGCAGAGCAGCAAGAGCUUGAUUGCUAGGCGGGUCGGUAGAAUCUAUGGACCGAAGGUCCUUUACUGAUAUUUUAAAAAUUGGAAUCCUUAAUCGAAUGCAAAAUUAUGCUUCGCGACUCUGUACUCAUAAUCCAAAUCUAAUUUGUUUUUUGGAUGCAAUUUUAAUUAGUCUUCGGGUACAAAUCGCCAGAAUGCCGCCAUAGCAUGCAUCCAUACAGCAUGUGCUAGAGCGACACGUGGGAGAAUGAGAACCCAAUCGUAGCUCAAUCAAGGUUUCUUUACAUACUUUGAGUUGCAUCAACCCUACUCUUGUCUAGAACUCUAAAAACUAAUCUGGAAUUGAUUAAAAAUAAGGAUAGCAUCGGAGUUUCAACCGAUCUUACCUGAUACAGUUGAAUUUAUCUUUUAACUUGUUUGAUAAUUGUAUCUACCACUUAUAUAAGAGAAUUGUCUUUUUAAAUAUAUCAAGCAUGAUUCAAUCUAGCUCAGAUCAUCAUAUCUGAGGAUUGGGGCAUAUUUGGUGCAUUUGAUUUGAUCAACACUUUUAUAUAAGUUUGUAUUAGAGUAAUACAUUGCUCUAAAUAUUGGGUCAUCGGUUGAUUUUUCCAAUAUUGAUUAAACUACAUGAUUAAUAUUAUAGCCAAUGAAUCAUAUUUAGGGUUUUGCUCUUUUUAAUCCAUCAUACAAGAGCUGAUUCGAUCUGAUUGCAUUGGCUUAAUUCUUGACGAUACGACAUCGGCUUACUAGCCGAUCGACUAUUGUUCAUCUAACUUUGCUUCUUGUUUUUCUUGCUGGCUGUAGAAUUAAACCAGUUGGCACGCUCUCAACCCGAAAGUAAUUAAGAUUUGGACCUGCAUUAGAGUAAAGCAAAUCUCUUAGACCAGUAUGUGUUUUUUUCAUCAACAGACACCUUUAUAUGCGCCAGUUGCUCUAAAUGACACAUAUAAGAUAUUUCGCAUUCAUCUUGAGCAUCUUAUAAAAAAAUUGGCACCUAUAAAUAUCUGUGUCAGAUUGUUUUAAAGAACCAUCACAUAUUGAGCUGAGCCAAGCAUGGAUGGGAGGAAAAGAAAAUAUCUCCCCGAUUCUUCUCGUCAACUCCUUUAUCUCCCUCUCCGCCUCUCCCAGGGCCGGCUUUGGAGCAGGGCCAUAAGGGCGAUGGCCUAGGGCCCAGCCAAAAUCGGAGCCCCGAUCCAGGUAUAUAUCCUGUAUAGGUAUUUAGCCCAAUAGCUUAGAAUUGAUCCUUCUCACUGAUUAGAAUUGAUGAUCCAAUCCAUCGAUCCUUCUCACUGAUUAGAAUUGAUCUGUUCUUCUAAUUUAUUUUUGUUCCCCAUUAAAUUACCUUGAUUAGAGACUUAGGGUGCUACCGUUUUGGGUUCAACCGUUAAAGGAAUCAAUACAAGUAUACAACCAUUUAGUGCACCAUAAGUCCAUAAGUUAAUUAAAUUAAGGUAUAUGGUGGAUUAGUUUUCAUUAGGCCUAGGCCCUUGAUUAUAUAGAUUUUUCCCUCACUGAUUUUAGGUCAUAGUACUUUGUAACGGGUUCUACUUCCAGCCCGUCACAGGUGACUAGUUACCUGUGACGGGUCGUAACCGGAUGACCCAUCAGAAGUGAGGUUACUCACCUCAAACGGAUUUAAGCACUAACCCGUCCGGUGAGUUGUGCCACUAUAUACCCAAACCGAAGGAGAUAUUUCUUCUUCCGGCGGUGCCCACUCCCGGAGGAGAUAAGGCCGACUUCUCUCUCUCUCUCCAUUUCUUUCGAUUUCUCCACUUCUCUCUCUCUCCCUUUCUCUCUGUGUGCAGCGGCGGCCUGGCAGGGACAGAGGGGAGCGUGCGGCGGCCCAGCGGCGGCGGCGCCCUCCCCUCCACCAGAUCUAACAGGAGCAGGAGGAGAGGCACGGUCAUGGCGAACGGUGUGGAGGUGCAACGCCGGUGACCACAAGCCGGCUAGGGCUCCAAGUUUGGACAACCCGAGCUCGGGGGGCUGUGGAUCUAGCUGUCCCGAGUUUGGGUACUCCAGAUCCAGUGGCCUCCGGCGCCAACAGCGCCAGAUCCAGGCUCAUGGUGAGUGGAUGGCGUCUCCUCUCUCCUCCAAUCGGCUGUGUGCGCUGCCGUCCGCCGUCAAGGCCUAUCGGCUGUACGGCGAGCAUGUGCUUCUCCUCAUCCUGUGCAGUCACCACCUACCGGCUACAUUAGCUAGACAUCUUUGGAGGUGAGCUUCUGUGUUAUCCUCUUUUUUCUUUCUUUGCAUGGCUAAAUUUGUUGUCUGUAGGAAUGUAUCCACGCUUAAAUAAGGUUGCUGCUUCUAUUUUAGUUGAGUUGAGCAUUAAAUAAGCUGCUAGUCAGUUUGUCAUACUCUGAUCCUCUGAAUGAUGUGUAGAUUCCUAUUGCGCUGAAGUGAUAUAUCUGAAUCUGUUUGUCAAAUACAGCAAACCUAUGUGCAUGAUCUAAAAUGUUCUUGCAGAACUGAUUUGACUAUUCUAUUCAGGUUCUCAUGACAAAUAGUACCUUUCUGGAUCUGAUAUGUUUCGAUGUAUUUUUCAGCUGCUUCUCCAGUUGCUGCAGCUCUUUGAGAUUCAGAGAUUCAAGAUCCUCUCCCAUGAGAUGGCUGCAGGAAUUACAGAAAAUCAAUUUUGCUGCAAGAUCCUCUUCUCCCAUAAGGUGGUGUACAAGUUUGCUGCAAUCCUUUUGCUUAUCCACAUGCCUUCUUGAAUUUAGUAGAUUGACGAUCAUAAAUUGUUUUGUGCCGUGUAUCUCAUUAUAUGUGCAUAGGUCCUGGAAGAGUUGUUGAAAAAUAUAUCUCUGUUGUCUCAGAUAGAAUACAUGAUCUCUAUUGUUCCAUAGGUUGCACGUACUAUGGAUUACCUAGCUAAUAUCUUCCACUCCUAUUCUCCUUUGCUUAUCUUUAGUUAUUCAUCUUAUUUAAUUCUGCAAAUUGUUCUCAUAUCAAACUAAUUCAGUGCCAUCUUUUUGCUUGCAGGUAAAUAGGUGCUCCAUAGACUAUGGAGUUGCUGACAUAGCAGAUAAUUGAAUGACUCUGCUUUUCUAAGUGCAAGCCAUUGUGUUCUUUGAGUUUUAUAUUAAUUCUCGAACUUGAUGAUGUUGGCCUGGUAGCAUGUCUCUAUAUUUGAAAACUCAAAAGAGCUCUUUUCUGAUAUGGCAUCAUUACUUUCUAAUUUUUGAAUUUGUAAUUUCUUUUUCUAUGAGCAAUUUUGGCAGUACGAAUGUAAGAGACAUGGUCCUAAUUCUUGUUUGUCUGGAGAAUGGGAAUUGGUUGAAAAAAAGAAGCUACAAAUGUUUAACAAUUGCUUUGCUUAAGCUGUUAAUCAUCCUUCUGAUUGCAGGUCACGCCGCGCUUAUACUUCUAGUUUGAUGAACAUUUGAUCUAUUAACUUCUUGUUGAUUUUCGGUGACAACUUGGAAUGCAUGUGUGAUGUUAGUUUGAAUGCAUGUGACUAUUCUAUUCUUUUAGAGGGCAUGGGAGGCUAGCCAAUCUUUAGAAACUUUUUUCUACAUGUUGCUCAUCACCGACGGUUGAUAUUGCAAAAGCCGUCACUUGUGAUGUCACCUGUGACGGCUCUGCACAUACAUGCCGUCACAAGAAAGUCACCUGUGACGGUUUUUACUCUCCGACCCGUCACAAAUGAGUUACCUAUGACGGGUUGUAACAUGCCAUGGGUUAGCGGAGACACUUACCUUUAACGGGCCAUAGAGUUCUUGUCCGUCAGAGGUGACUGUUACCAGUGACGGUCCUCCGUCAAAGGUGACUGGUCCUCACUAGUGACCACUAAUCUGUUACCAAGCCCAAACCUGUCAAUGGUGAGGGUUUGGAGCCAUCAGAGGUAACCUAAUCCGGUGUAGUGUUGGUUUGGAGCCAUCAGAGGUAACCUAAUCCGGUGUAGUGUUUUAAGUUGUCAAUCAUACUAUCGAUAUUAUUUAUCGAGAACAAAUUACUAUAUUGCAAUUUGCAAACUGCUUGAUUUAUUAUUUACCAUGUUAGAAAUGUUUAUUUAUAUCACUAUAGUAUAGGUGCUUUAUAGAGUAUAUAUUAUAAGUUAAAAGAAAUAGCCUUAAUUCUUAAGGGCCUAUAGUGUGAAGUUCGCCUAGAGCCCUCGAAAAUGUUGAGCCAGCCCUGGCCUCUCCUCUCUUCUCCCCACCACUCGAGCAAUCUUGUUGAUCAGAUUCCUUAUUACUAUUGAUGGAUUCACCGGAUUGUGCAUAUUUGCAUCGUGGGAAGUGCGAUCUCAAGCAUGCACAUGUUUCUUUAGAUUGUUCUUUCACUUGAUCAGCAUCGGCUAUCACUGCUACCCAUGAUGGUGAUAGCUAUACAUGCAGCCAUGUAGGACGACCAAGGGUGACGGUGGUAAUAUAUAUGGCAUUUGCGUGGUCACCAUCCUAGGGCGUACUCGUUACGCCAUUCAUGCAUAAUAGGGCCUUGAUCGGAUCUAACAUGCCCCACACACAAUAAGAAUAAGACUGCCCGGCUCAUCUGGUCAUGCCGCAGCACUACAAGAAAGGAAUGCCCCUAGCGGCCAUGCGAUUUUUUUGGCGGUCUGAAAUCAGCCGCCAAGAUUACACUUUAAUUUGGCGGUUCAAACUUGCCACCAAGCAUAAAGAAAUUUUAUUGGCGGCUAUUCCAUAGCAGACAAAGAAAUAUGUAUUUUGCUUGGCGGUUACAAGCAAAACUGUCAAUAUAAAUUCCAACUCCCUAUUACCAGGGUCGCGCACCUGCAGGUCAAAAAUUUGAGUUGGCCGCCUCUCAGACCACGAAAAUUCCCGCUAUCCUGCCAAAUCACUGAUCUGCCCUCAUGCCAUGUCAUCAAUCCGCGCCUCCUCCCGUGAUCUCAAUCCCAACCGUCCAUUCCCUCCUCAUCCAAUGGCAACUGCCUCCCCACUCCAUCCUCUCGUCCCCUUUCUUCCCCACUCCAUCCUCUUCUCCUCCAAUCCCCACACCACCGGAAUUGUUGAGGAGGCGUGCUUCGACCAAAUCGACGAGUUCAACAACAUCGACCUCUUCCGCUGUCGCCCCCCCCCCCCCCACAACCUCCGUCGUCCCGCGGGCGCUCGACACCGUGGAGGAGCUUCUCUGGUUGGGGAGCCCCACGCUAGCCGCCUACGCGCGCCAGGAGAUCCAGUUCCGGCACCUUGUGCAGGAGCACGCCGUCGCCGCCGCCGUUGCGAGGAUCCGCUCCAUCGAGGCCAGGAUUACCGCCCACCGCGACACCAUCACGGUGAAGGGGCACCGCCUUCGUGCCGUCCGCGCCAACAUGGUGCCACCGGUUCGGGCCCGGCUCGCCGUCCCGAUGGGCGCCACAGGAGGAGGUGGAUGCUACUCGAGCGGCUGAACCGCGCAGAGGAGGAGGAGGACGCCAUGGAGGAGCCUGAGGAGGAGAAGCUGGAGGCCAUGCCGCAGCUGGCCAGCGGCAUGGAAGACCUUAGCCUGUUGCUCCGUGCAUUCAUAGCCUUGUACUAAUAAAAAAAAAUUUGGCUAGAGCUUGUGAAAGAAAAAAUAAUUAUUUUUGGUUUCAGGUAUUUGUAACAAGAUGAAGUUGAUCUCCAAAGAACUCUGAGGUUAAGCGAGUGAGGACAUAUUGUGUAGAAAAUACUUGUGUUGGUUUGUGAGGGCAGUCUAUGUCCUAGAAAAGCUGCUAGAUGUAAGAGAGGCGGGACGUUUCAGUUAGUAUUCUUAACGGUUUCGCAGCCACCAAGUUAAAGUUAUUCUUGGCGGUGGAAAACCGACAAGGCUAUUUUUCCUGACGCUUUCGAAAGAUGGCAAUCUUCUUAAUUUGCUUGGUGGUUUGACCGCCAUGAAUAUUUUUACUUACGGUUAGCCGCCAAUAAAUUUAAAUAUCCUUGGCACUCUAGACUUGGUGGUAGUUUCUUGGUGGUCGGCCGACGGAAUAAUUAUCCUAGGCGGUUUAUAUGCUAUCCUUGGCGGUUUUUGGCCGCCAAGGACAUUCCGUUUUUUUAGUGUAGGUCUACAUCCGAUGAAGAUCUAGCAUACCCUACAAGGAAACAAAACACAAAGAAACAGUAAACGAGCCGAAUAUUAAACGAAUUUGGAUGGCGUACUCAGAUAAGAAAGAUUUGAGUUGGUCAGAAAGCAAGUUCUAGAUCUACAACUAUAACGACGUUGUGAAUGGGAUUGAUAUAUAACUUCGGCAUGGAAAGUUAGAAACGACACAGGAAAGAGUGAGCAUCACGUGUCCCUAGAUGUGGGGAUCCCAUUUUGGUGUUUUGGGAAGAAAAUGAUGUGCAUAAUGUGUUGACGCUGGUGUCCGCCAUGAUAGCCACCACUGCCAUGAACUAAGGCUACCUGGAAACAUCACCCAGCUAGACCGCCCGAUGUUCGAUGAUGACCUAGAACAUCGACAGCACAACGGGCACGCCGGCUUGUCGCCAUGGCGCAGCCACUCCUCGCCAUGCUUCCGGCUAUCCCUCCCGCCACUGGUUGCGUUGAGCCCACGCCCCGACAGCAAGGGGAUACCGCGCAUUGAGUUUGUUGUUGGGCGGCAGGGUUUGAAAUUUCGGUUCGAAAUUUCUGAAAUUUUUGAAAUUUCGGUAAUUUCACCCACCUCCCCCAACCAAAAUGCUCACAUCUCGUCCGAAACUUUUGAUUUUUAUGAAUUUGGUCAAAUUUUAUUUAAAACCAGUCAAAAUUUCGCCCCUCCCCCCUCCCCCCCCCAACCCGCGACAGAAAAUCUAAUUUCAAAAUUUGAAAUCCUGGUGGGCGGCCAUGCCCGUGGGGUGCAUAAGAUAGAUGCUGGAUCGGAACCACGCUGCUCUGGGUGGAAAUGAUCAAUCAUAACCGAAGCCCAUCGCAUUUUCAAGAACGCACACGCUUGCCCAUUGCGUUCUGUCCCAUACGUACCCGGGCAAUUUCAGAGACAGGCUCUGCCUACGAACUGAACGCACGAAUCACAGUCGGGCAGAUAUGACAGACAGGAACCUAAGCAACAUCAAUUUUUUAAGUAGGUAAAGAUUGCAUAUAAAAUAUAAAUUGCAGUGGCGGAGCUAGAGCGAAAUGGAGGGUGAUGCCACUUGCUUAAUUUACUCUACUUUAAAUCGAGUUUAAGUUAAUGCUGGUGCUUAAGUUUGUAUUGAAGGGGUGCAUACAUGGUGAAAAUAGAUGAGGUAUAGCUAAAAAAUUUUCUUGACCGGGUUCCUGAACACCCCCUAUUAUCCACUAGCUCUGCCCCUGAUAAAUUGCAUGUAUAAAAAUAAAACUGACGAGUUGCAUAUCAAAUCCAAUGCAUCUGGCCUUGCUACUACAAACCGGAUUACUCCUGAUAGCCACAAACCGUUAGGAAAAACACUAUUCACAUAAAGGAAAAAAACAAUUUUAUGGUACUUGAGGAGGUACCAUGAGGUACUAAUUUUUUUAUUGUAAAUUUGAUACCUCUUAAUAGCUAGGUACUAUGAGGUACCAUGAGAGGUACCAAAUAUUAGUGUAAAAUUUGGUACCUCAUGAUACCUCUUUAAGAACCGUAAAAUUGCCUAAAGGAAAAUGCUUCCUAAUGGGGUACCAUUACUCCAUUAGGACUGGCUUAUCAGUCAGGAAAAUUAAUCCUGACGUGGAUUGCCGUUAGAACUAUUUUUUGUGACGUUAUAUGCAACAUCAGAUAAAUUCUAACUUUACUUCUGUUCUCCCUAAACAUUCAAGGCAAGGUAUCUUUACCGAUGAAACUAUAAUAAUAAUAAUAAUAAUAAUAGCAAGGCAAACUACUAUAAUAAUAAUAAAAGUUCACCAACACUACCGAAGAUCCAUAGCUAUCUGUCUUGCUGCUUUCAAGUUAGGAGGCAGCAAUCUCGCAAUGAGUUCAUUGAGAACAAUUGGGCAACUGAUUUUCAGAUGCUUAUAACCAUCAGUUCUCAUCAUCCUCUCAAGAUUGGUUGGUUGAAGCAAGGAAUUCGAGGCAAGCUUCCUUGAGUCCUUGGCAGCUAUGCUGCUCAGCUAGAGCCAAAGUGGUCGCCACCAUGUUGCAGUCAAUGUGCUUUGCUAGCUUCUCCUCGCAUAUCAGCUUCAGCCUCCCAACAUUGUACCAAUCCGCAGCGACAAGCAGGUGCUGAGCCAUCAUUGCAUCUUGAGACCACGUCUCUGGCAGCGAGUCAUUGUACAUGAAAUGUAGCAAUAAUCUGAACACACCAGCUUCCAUAUCUUCGAUUUCAAUGGUCCUAGGGGUUUCCGCAAUCAUGGCACCGAAGAACAACGCCCUGAAGACAGACGAACGAGCGGCGAGUAUGCAUUUGUGUGCUCUGAAUCUCUCCUUACCAACGUAGAUCGUGACGUCUUUUCCAUUCAUCUUCUUAUUACUCAGGAGGUUGCCCAAAUGCAGGUCCAGACGGCCUGCAGGAACUUCCACAGACGGCUUACAGUGGCUUCCUUUGCUAGAGAAGCCCUUCAUGACAGUAAGAUCACACCUGAUAGUAAAUGAAUCGUCUAUUAGAUGCUCCGAUUGUUCCAAAUCCCUUUUCUUGAUGAACCUGGAGUAGCCCCAGUUUGAACCUCUUCUGCUGAAAUUGUGCGUAUUGGAGAUGAAGUUGCGCGAUCGCACCGGUUUAUUAUUCGUGUCCAGCAGUUUGAAGCUGAACUUUGCCUUCACGUCCUCGGCCCAGUGAGACUCAAGAAACACAGAAAACGACAGGUAGUCUGCGUUCUUUGAGCAGUUGCCAUUGGGGUAGUAUCUGACGUUCCAGAGGAAGUCCCCAACACUGAACGGGAUAGAUGACACAAAUUCGCCAUUCUCCAUCAGAUCCUUAGUUACUGUGUAUCCAUCAAUCUUGAUUACAUGUGACGCGCUCGUGGUUUCAGUAGCAAUGACAGAGGAGGAGGUGUUGUUCGUAUCGUUUGCCAUUGUGGAGUUGAACUUGCCAUGCAUCAGCUAUCAACAGUUCGUGACACUUUUUCCUGUGCUGGAGUAUAUAUAAACAAAGCAAUUUUGUCUAGUUAGUACUGAAAAAAAACGUACCCCCUCAAUAAAGUACAUGCAGAACAACUUUUCUUGAACCAAAACGACACGAAAGAUAAAGUAGUAACCAUCUGGACUAGAAGACGUAUAAUUCAACCAGAAUUGUAAGAUAUUUGAACCAUGAAUGCAAUAUAAGUUCAGUUAAAACUGAAUAAAUAGAAAAUUAGUCUUCAGUAGCAACAUUGUGGGGAAAAAAAAAGCUUGAUCAGGUCUUUGUCGAGCUUUCAUCAGAUUUAACUUUUUUAUGAUUUGCUUAUUUUUUAUAUCAUUCCAGAUUAUUUUUGCUAACAAACUAACGAGCAUAGCCUAGGUGAAAACGACUUUCAUUCACAAUUAAAUAAUUUUUAUUUAAAAAGAAAACUAGAUCAGUCGGAGCAACCAAGUCAUGGGAGCAAUUAAUUUUGAACCGAGCCACCAAGCUUAAACGUUUCUCCCCCUCACGAGAAGCAUUAUAUUUGCAGCUGAUGAGAUGCAUGUUCUAGUAAAACAUAGCACUAAUUCUGAAACUCAAAGCAUACGAUUCCAACAAAUGAUGAUUGGCCAUGUGUGCCCAUGUACAUUCAUCUCACAUGUAGACAUGUAGGGCUGGAUUGAUUAUUCAUUAUUAAGAAAAUAAAAGGAGCCCAUGUACAUUCAUCUCCAUGUAGGGCUGGAUUUAUUAUUCAUUAUUAAGAAAAUAAAAGGAGAAAAACGAAUGAAGAUACCGAAUAACGUGUAUACCUUUGUGAAUUACGUAUAAGCUUCCAAUGAGACUUUACAGAUGGCGGCUUACCUAUAGCGGACAGCGGGGCGGAGGCGCGGAGCACGGAGGCGAAUUGCGGGGAUGAUCACGGCGGAUCGAGCACUCGAGGAGUGAAAAGAUUUGGCGGCGCCGGCGUCGAUCAGUUCGGGAGGGCGUACGGCGGGGGAGGUUGGGUUUUUCACCACCCCGAUCGAUACGUAUUCUCUGCCGUUUGGCCUUGUUGAUUUCACGUAAACGGCAAGGAUAUAGCCACGAGCCCACGACUUCUUGAUUAUCUUCCUUGCGUAGUAUUUCCCCCGUCUUUUUUAUCUUUGCUUUCCUCCUGCACUAUUUUAUCCUGAACUAGUCUGCAGGGUACUCCUAACGGACGGGUGAUCGCUCCCUCCCCUUCCAAGCGAUCACCCGCACCUCCCCUUUACUACUUUACCUCCCCUUCUUCUCUUACUGCUACACCAUAUAAAUUUGAAUUAAAAUUUAAAUUUGAAAUGGGUAUGUAAACUUUUUACUUAUAAACUUUGGGUCUAUAAACUAAUAUUUGAAUUCAAAUUCAAAUUUGAAACGGGUAUGUAAACUUUUGACCUAUAAACUUUGGGUCUAUAAAUUAAUAUUUGAAUAUAAAUUCAAAUUUGAAUCGGGUAUGUAAACUUUUGACUUAUAAACUUUGGGUUUAUAAACUUUAGGUGUAUAAACUUUAGAUGUAUAGAAAUACUAUAUAUAGAAAAUAUUUGAAUUCAGAUUCAAAUUUGAACGGAUAUAAUUCAAAUUCAAAUUUGAAUCGGGUAUGUAAACUUUUGACUUAUAAACUUUGGGUCUAUAAACUUUAGUUGUAUAAACUUUAGAUGCAUAAAAAUACUAUAUAUAGAAAAUAUUUGAAUUCAAAUUCAAAUUUGAUUCCCGACAUAAUUCAAAUUCAAAUUUGAAUCGGGUAUGUAAACUUUUGACUUAUAAACUUUGGGUCUAUAAACUUCAGCUCUAUAAACUUUAGAUGUAUAGAAAUACUAUAUAUAAAAAAUAUUUGAAUUCAAAUUCAAAUUUGAAUCGGAUAUAUAAACUUUUGACUUAUAAACUUUUGGUCUCUAAACUUUAGAUGUGUAAACUUGAGGUGUAUAAACUUUAGAUGUGUAAACUUGAGGUGUAUAAACUUUAGGUACAUAAAUUUACUAAAAUAGGAAAGUAAUGCGGUGCCAAAAAGGAAACCAGGUGGAGGGAGGGGGGAAGGGGGAUCGAUCGCUACCCUUGUCGCCGGGCGAUCGAUCGCCCAUUAGCACUUCCGUAAUCACGACAGUUAUGUUUAGGUCGGCCUAUUUGUCUUUCGACAGAAAUAACCCUUCCAAAUCUUGCAAAUUUCACAAUAUAAAACCUUUUUUUUUCAACAACUGGAUUUUAUUUUUGGAAAAAGUACAAAUUACCCCCCUAGCUAUCGCGGUCGAUCGAAUUACCCCCCUUAACCCGAAAACCAGACAUGCAUUAUUCACCUUCAACUUUUAAUAGUAGACGAAUUACCCCCCUCGACUCAAUCUAUAGCGGUUUGUCCUACGUGGCGUAUGCGUGGCAAUCCAGUCAGCACCUUUUUUUUUUUAAAAAAAAGAUGGGACCCACCUAUCAUCUUCCCCUCUUCUUCUCUUUCUCUCUCUCUUAAUUGAGGCGCGGGGACGGGCAGUGAGCGUGUGGUGGUGCUCAUGGACGGGCGGGCAAACGCGCGCGGGGAGGUGGAGGGGAUGGGGGAGGUCGAUGGGGAAGGGGAGGGGCGGUGGGUGGCAGCGCCUGUGGAUGGGCAGGCGAGCGACGUGGACGGCGGCGAGCCGAGAGGUGAAGGGGAUGGAGGAGGUUGGCGCAUGGCGGCGGCCAUGGCAGGCGAGCCAGGGGCACGGUGGAAAGGCGGAGGGGAUGGGGGAGGUCGGCACACGGCGGCGGUUGCCCUAGCGGGCGAGGCAAGGGCGCGCCGUGCGUGUCGCCGCCCACCGUCCGUCCCCGCGCUGACCGCCCACCCCCAGUGCGCCGCCGCAACCCCGCCCAUUCCCGGGCCGACCGCCCCUGCGUGUCCGGAUGGAGGCGGCGGCGGCCGGGGACGAGGAAGAAGCGGCGAUGCAGAACGUGGAGGCGGCGACAGUGCGGGACAGAGAGGAGGGAGCGGCGAACUCCAGGAAGGAGCUCCGGCGAACUCCCUCCGGUGCAGGAGGGUCUCCGUGUCCGCCGUCCACGUCCGCCCUCCGCCCGCCCCCGCCGCCAUCCAUCCCCAUGCCGAGGGGGCGGCUGCUCGUCGUGGCCGCGGCCAUAGCCGCCGCCACCUCCUCGUUCCUUGCCGCCUCUGCGUCACCCGCUACCACCGCUCCGUGUCCCUAGCCUGCCGCCGACCCGCGAGAGAGAAGAGAGAGAGGGGAAGAGUGACUGGUCUGCCAUGUGUACGCCACGUAGGAUAAAACCAUUCUGGAUUGGUUUGAGGGGGAUAAUUUGUCCGUUAUUAAAAGUUCUGGGUGAACGAUGUCUGGUUUUCGGGUUUAGGGGGUAAUUUGGUUGACCGCGAUAGUUCGGAGGGCUAAUUCGUACUCCCUCCAUCCUCAAAAGUUACACAUAUUACAUAUUUGAGUUUUUCCAAAUAAGUUGUUCCUAUUUGUAGUCUUUAUGCAUUCAAGACUUAAUGAAGAGAUAAAUUAAAUGUUUUAUUAGAACCCAAGGAGUCAUCUAAAUGCUUAUUGGUUGCAUGCUUGGAUUCACUUAUUGAUUUUGUAACAUCCAAGGUGAUUUAAUUUCUCCUUGGUCUUGGUGUCAAAAGUAAUAUGUGCAACUUUUGUGGAUGGAGGGAGUACGUUUUCCUUUAUUUUUUCAUCAUGGGUUAAAAAUAUCCGCACUUGUAAUAACAAUAAGAUGUUGAUGUGACCAUGGCUACUAUGAAUAUAAUUGUUGUUCAUAUCAUGGAUCAAUAAAAUGACAUCAUGAUCAAGUCCUCCAAGUGCUGGAAUCCAAUUCGUCCACCUUCUCCGUUUUUGGUCCAUGUGUACUUGAUGAAAAGCUCUCACAGUCCUUUUUCCAACGAAUCCAGUCUCAUCGCCAAAUUUUAUCUCAGUCAUCCACAAUCACAGAAACAAUGUGUUGCGAAACCUAUGAUGGGCCUAUUUGCUUGUAACUUCAUCUGGAACCCCGACCCAAGUGAGGCCCAUGUGGGGUGCGCUCCAACCAGGUGGAGUACUUUGUCGUGUAGUCCUGUCAAAUACAUACUCUCAUGUCAAUAUUUCAAUUCAAAAUUAGCAUGUGGUCUCAUCUGAGGAUGAUAUAAUUAAAUGAACACAAAAAUGAUAAAAAAAUAUUUCCCCUACAAAACAAAUACAAAUAAUUUGUUUCGGUUGCGCACUUUAUAUGUGUAUGUAGCAAACGAUUCAAUUCAACAUGCAAGAGUGAAAUGGAGUGAGAAAUAAUAAUGAAAACUAACCUUGUAUGCUUCAAGCUCCAACAAGACAAAAAAAAAAUAGAGCAAAACCUCCCUCCUCCUAUAGCUGGUCAAGCAAGAACAAGAGGUGCCGCUCUGUUCUUCGCUCGAUCAGCUUGAGGGGACAGGAAAGUGGUAUAUAUUGUGAUAGUAGGUGCCGGUUUUUAACUAGAAUCGACACAUAUCUCUAACAAAAAUAUAGGUGCCAAUUUUUAAGUGUGGGCCCUUCAAUGGCUACUAGCUAGGUGGUAGAGUCAAAGUUGCUGGUUCUAGCUAAGAAUGGACACCUUUCUAUGACAGCCUCAAAGGUGCCGGUUAUAGGGUGGGCCUCACGACCAACAAUUCUGAUGGGAUGCAUGUCAAAGGUGUUGGAUUUUAUAUGGAACCGGCACCUAUCUCUGACAGGAAAUAUAAGUAUUGGUUCUAUUUAAAAAAGCAGCACCUAUUUCCAUUGGAAGGUGACGUGGUUUUUUCGUUUGACGCCCCCACGGGUACCUGUGUGGAUGGAAAAAGUACUAUAGGUGCCGAUUUUAGCUGUUUCGGCAUCUAUUGUACCGUCCUCUAUGUGCCUUUCAUAUAUUCAGAUGUAUUGAUUGGAAGGUCUAUCGUGCUUGGAUGAACUUAGGUAUUGCUUGGCUCUGAAUAAAUGUUAUCAAAAAAACCCAAAAUCAACUCUAAAUUGAAGGUUAAAAAUUUAAAUUCUGGCUUAUAAGCAUAGGCAUAAGAAAAAGAUGAGGCUUGUAAUUCGGUCAUCAAUGGCUUGAAAUCAGCUCCUCUUACACAUAGGGGCGUGAGUCCCUAAGAUGUGGGGCUCACCUUCACGGUCCCACACAUUGGAGGCACAUGUCCCUGCAACGUGCGUCAAAGGAGCCUAAUCAUAGUGGCAUACAUGAUAUUAUAUGAACUAAAAACAUGAGCUGUAAUACACAGACUAUAGACAAAGUCCCACAUGUCGAAGUAUGUUUGUCAUGUUCUCUCACCAACUUCAAAUCAGUUUUUUAGGGAACACUUUGCUUCCCAACUCUCCCUUAUCGUUUUCCGCGCGUACGCUUUUCAAACUGCUAUUUUGGUGCGUAUUUUGUAAAAAGUUUUUAUACGAAAGUCGUUUAAAAAAUCAUAUUGUUCCAUUUUUGAAAAAAAAUAGCUAAUAUUUAUUUAAUCACGUGCUAAUAGAUUGUUUCGUUUUCCGUGCGGAGGAGUUUGGUUCCCAACCAUCCCAAACGAACUAAGAGCUGUAAAUAUAUACUCCAUCUUUUACUAAAGAUGAAUAAAAUCGAUGCUCCCAUUUGAGGCUCAAAAAAAGAACCAUCAUGUGCCAAUUUUCAGAGCAAUUUUUACCAUUCAAAUUCCCAAAAGAAAAAAAGGAAAAUGCUUUAAGUACGAUCACGAGCGUCCAACUCUCGUACGACCACGGUGACGGCGUAUGUGACGUCUGCGAGCUGACCAGUUUGGGCUGUGAUCCGAAUCUCAUUCUCGUUGGGCCUUCCAAAAGCCAGUCACAAUCGUGGCUAACUACCAUGUCUGACCGCGUUCGUGCAAUCAGCAACAAACAAAUACUACUAACAGAUUCGCGUGUGCGUGGAAUCACCGUCUUACAUGAGCUUUUAAUGGAUCUUCUUCAGGUGCUAAUUUUCAAUUAUUUUCUUAGUUUCUUCUAUUCAUAUCAUUACAUUGUACAAGUCCGUUAAGACGAUUUGUUUGUAUGUUACGGCUGUGACAGUAUAAGUGGGUUUUCACAUGCUAUUCAAAUGCUUAUGGCCCUCAGUUAAUCAUGCAUAGCUUAAUUGUUGACAUAAGCGCAAUCAAUAAUGAUAAGCUAGUUAUAAAAACUGAUCUUGGUGGUUACACUAUAUAAAAGAAUAAAAAAAAUAACUUGCUUUACCUAGUUGUAUGAACUGGUCUUGGUAACAUCUGCUACACUGAAAAUAAUACUAGAAUGUUGAGAUCAAGUUGACAGUGAGUGGAUUCAGCAUUUCAGAUUGACCUAAAGCUUCGGCAGAAGCAUCAUGCGGCCAUGUUGACAUGAUAUUGUGGGUUUAGACUUGUACAUGGGCCUAUGUAUAUGAUAUGAGAGUGUAUGGGCUUGUGGCACAGGUCCAAUCUACAGCAUCACUUCACGCCGUCACCGUUCGCUGUUUUAGUUGUACGCUAGUCGUAUAACUUGGUCGGACGUAUAGCAGAUCUCAAUAAUAUAAGUACAUGGGUUUACUAAUGGCCUUUCUUUCUCUCAGUAAUACUUUUACUCGUAGGUUGAUAGUAGAGCUAGUAAUCUUUUUACCCAUGGGCCAAUGAAGUAAACAGAAGGAAAAAAACAAAAAAAAAAGAAAUGGGGAACGGAGUGCAGACGGAAAAAAUUGGAUUGGGGAGGGGUGUGGGUUUUUUGUUUUUGGGGUGGGGGUGGGGGGUUUUGGUGGGUGGGGAGAGUAGGUGAGGGGAGCAUUUUAGUUAUUGUGCACCGUAUGUGCGCUUUAUUAUGUCCCUAUAUUUGUAUGUAUACAUACAUAUAUGCAUGUAUUAGGAAAAAAUAUCCGUUCAUUGUAAUGAGUGAAGACUAUUUUAAUUUUAUUAUUGUUGUACGGUUUAACUAAGGUAAAAUUCACUGUGGGAAUUCGCAUGAGCUGCAAUUAGGAUCGGAGUCCGAUCAUCUAAAGGUAGCAUGCAUAGUUUCUUAAAAGAUAUUUCUUAUAUGUCUCCCGUAUUUGUAAAACGAAUGAACUUAAACAAACAACUCAAAAACGGAUUUGUAUUUCCAAAUGAAAUGAACUUUAAAACCAACUCAAAUACGGAUGACGUACCAAAGUACUGAUAAAAACAUCUUCAAUUUUUAUAAUAGUAGAGAUAUAUAUUUGUGUGUUGAAUGUGAAUGUUUCAAACUGAACUUUGCGAGGGAUUUUGGGAGAUAUAUGUAUUGAUGGUUAAUGCAUUGUCCAUGUGGAUGUGUACCUGUGUCUUUGAAUGUAUCGUGUAUGAUCUGUGAUUUUUUAUGAUUCUGUGAAAUUUGUAAGGUCUACUAUUUUUUUUCAUACCGGCAUAUAGGUGACAGUUGUUGGUAAAAACCGACCCCUAUAGUGCUGCCACGUGUCCAGCUCAAGCGAUAACCAACACCAAUAUAUUCUUAUAGGUGUCAAAUGUUACGUAGAAACGACACCUUUGACAACUAUCACGCCCAGAAAUUCACUAGUAAUUUCCGAACCAAUUUGUGCAUAAAAUCCUCGUCCAGGAAUCAGCCAAGGUACACAAACAGAUAAUUUAAUAUACAGAUUCAUCAUAAUAAUAACGUUACAUACUUACAAAAGAAAAGAAAAUAGCAGCGGAAUUACGGUCUAGCGAAGCUCCGGCUCCACUCCCACAGGCAACUCAACUGGGGUAUAAGUCAAACGUCUUCUCCUUCGCAACUUGUCUUCAACUGAGGUUUGAUUGAUUAUUGCAAGGUGAGCAUAUGACAUACUUAGCAAGCCACACAGCAAAUAUGCAAGUGCACAAGGAUACCAAAGAAUGGCAUAAUAUAGGGCUCAUUUGCAAAAGCAGCAUUUAGCAAACAUUUGAGAAUUGUAAAACAGUAGAGUAAUUAAUCAUCAAUAUUUAUCAACACUGAAUAGCACAUCCAUACUGCACAGGCCCAACCUUCCUGAAUAACCAUACCCGGCUGUACAGAUCUAUCUCCAAACCAGGGAUGUGUCAUUCCAAACCAGGAGCUAAAUUAAUUACCAUCAAUUACCACAUUAUUAUUAAUGAGUAGUGUAGGACUAAUCACGAAAGACAUUGUUAGACCCGCCCAUAACCGCGGGCAUGGCUAUUCGAAUAGUUUUACUCUAGCUAGAGGUGUACCACUGUACCCACAAGACACAACUCCAUAAUAUGUCACCAUAUCAUUAUGUGCCCAUGCUGAACAUGUCACCAUUUGUGUAGUUGUGACAAGACCCCUCGCAUAGCUCAACUCAAAGCAGCACACCUUUCCUGGAUCAUAGUCACCCCCUCAAAAACCAGAGGCAUGGACUCUCCAGCGACCCCCGUGGGCUUAUCUCCGCCACUUCUCAGUCUGGCACACCACAAUGAGCUUUGCUAUAGAAAGUGUCCAGUCGUUGCCCAUUCUGGCUUGUGGUUGGCAUGGUUAAUGUUUCACAACCGAAACUUGUGAACCGGUCCUUAAUUUUCAUGAGCACUAUCAUCAAAACCAUGUGCUCACAACCCACCAUUAUCAAGUUUUAGUUGGCAAAUUAAUUAAUUAACCAAUCACGAUUGACCAUCAUGAGCUAUCUUUGCCAUGUACAUCAUUAAGUAAUAGUGAAACCUUAGUUAUCCCAAUAGUGUGCUAAUGUUUCUAAGCAUGACUAAGUAAUUAUAUCUAAUAUAUCUAAUUGAACCAAUAUAUAAAUCCAACUAGUCAAAUUAUAACCCGAGGUAAUCAAGAAAUAGGGUAAUCAAUGCAAAUUGGCCAUAACAAAGGAAUAGGUUCACACCACCCGAUGACAUUCGAAAAAAAAUGCACAGUUGAAAUAAAUAGAGAAUUUAAAUAUAGGAUCAACAUGCUCAAAGGAAUUAUGUUUGGGAUCUGUGUGACUUGACUUGCAAUAAUGGGUCUUCAAUUUGUCUUCUGGAACACUUCCGACACACUCGCGAACCUUCACAAUGACGGAAACGACAAGCUAACACGCAAAACGAGGAAAAAGACUAAGAAACUCCAAAUAAACAAUACAUAUAAAGUAAACAAACAUGUAGAUCAUAAUUUUAGAUGAAUUAUGAGACUUGAAUGGCCUCAUUCUGACUUCAUAUGAAUUAAUUACGAAUUGUACAAGAUUUAAUCUAAUUAAAGCCCAUUUAAAAAGGAUUAAAUAAAUUUAACACAAUUUAUGGAUAAUUUUAAUAUAUAGAUCUUUAUUUUAUACAACUUUUGCAACUUGAACCACAUUAAACCGAGUUACAAUGAAUUAGUUAUGCAUUUCUAAAGAUUAAACCGCAUUAAAGCAUUUAUAUGGAUUUUAAAUUGAAUUAUGACGCAAUAAAGAAUUAUUUUUGAAAAGGAAAAUAGAUUUAUUGCAUCAUCAAAGACGGUCCAUGGUAAACCGGGUUCACAGAAGCGGUCCACGGAACCAACGGCCAAGAUCUAAUUGACCUAAAAUUGACUGAAUCGAACGGCCGAGAUCGAUCCGGUCUACCACGGGUCUACGGCUGACAAAGUGCUAACAUCAGCGAUGAUGUCAUCUCCGGCGGCGGCUCGGCACCUCGUGCUCGCCGGCGAACGACGGCACGGCGGCGCAAACGGAGGGCACCAACGCGUAGAGCUCGGCUCAGCGAACUCACCAGUGGCUUGGACGACGGCAAACGACGAUGGAUGACGACGGCGGUCUUCGGGUCGGCGGUGACGGCGGUGCUUCGGUGGGAAACGGCGGCAACGAAGGGGUGGACGAGGUGCUGCUCCUCCUCGUGAUCCCGACGGUGGCGACGACGACCGAAGGCGGUGGCUGCAACGGUGGCACGGCACGGCUGGACCGACGGCGACGGUGGAGAGCUUCGGGUCGACAGUGUCGGCUGCGCUUCGGUGAUCUGCGGCGGAAACGGAAGACGGGACGAGGACGGCGAUGACCUCGCGAUGCUGAUGAAGGAGACGGCGUCCGACGACGACAAUCGAAGGGACGGCGGCGCCCGACUGGACACCCGCCGGCGGCGACGACGCAAAGAGCCACACAGAGGCGGCGCUAGAGAAGGCGGCAGUCAAAGGUGGAGAUGGUGAUGUGGAGAGGAGGUCCCGGAGGUCCUUUUAUAGGGGCUAGGGGGCGGCGAUGGAGGCCCAUGGCCGGCGGCAAGGAGAUGGAAGGUCUAGGGUUUUGGAAAGAGAAGCUAACCAAAUCGGCAUUGAAUCCGAUGAUUUCCAAACGAAUUAGGUCGGGAUUCCUAAAGAGAAAAGGAAGAGGAGAUCGAGGAGAUUAUUUCCCCUCAAUUGAUUUGGCCGGAGAAGGAAAGGGGCGGCCGGAUUUUGGAAGGAGGCGGCGGCUUGCGGCGCGGCUAAAUGCGGCCGGAGGUUGAAGACGACUGACAGGUGAGUCCCACCUGUCAGCAAAAGGAAGAGAGGAGGGAGGGGCGCGGCGGUCUGGGCCGGCUUGGGCCGGGCGCGAGCAGGCUGAAAGGAGGGUGAGAGAGACUUGGGCUGACUUUCGGCCCAAAGCUAAAAGAGAGAUUUAAAACCUUUUUAUAUUUAAAUUAUUCAUGAAAUGAUAUUCCAUUGAUUAAAAAUACUUCCUUGGCUCAAAUAAAUCCCAGAAAAAUCUAGGAACUAUAGAAACAAGAGAAGUAUUUAACAAAAUUUUAUCUAGCCCACUUUUAUAUUGAGAUUUAACAAAUUAAAAUUAGAUCUUCUCUUUUAGGCUUUUAAGAUCAUUUCUAAUAAUUCCUUUUAAACCACAAUUUAUAAUUUAAGGAUUUUUAAACGAGAAAAGCAUUUAACAUAAUUAUAACUAGAUCAUUAAUGAUUAUUGAUUAACUAAUUAUUGAACUGUUCUUUGUAUCAUUUAGGAAUUGAGCUCUGAAAAAUCUGAGAAAAUUUCAAAGAGUAUAAUUAAUCAUGGAGAAUUUAAUAAAAAUUAAAUCCAGCCAUGCUUUAUAUUUAGGAAAUUUUAUUUCCCACAUUUAACUUCACUUGUAAAUUAAUGAACAUUUAAUAUAAAUUCUAUUAAUAAUUUAUUAAGUAAUUUAUAAAUCCUGAAACGAAAAUCAGGCUGUGACAACAACCACCACAUGGCGCUUGGGGGCCAAGAACUGGCACCUAUAACAAUAUAUAGGUGUCGGUUCAUGGUUACAACUGUCUAUAUGCUAUAGGUGCUAGUCGAUGGCUUUUGUCAUCGGUGCCACCUGAGGGGUGUCGGCUAGAAAACCCGGCACCUAUGGGGGUUUCGCAACCAGCAUCAAUACAAUUUUUUUUAGUAACAUUGAACAUCGUGCUAUGAGGAGUUAAUCGGUUCGAGUGUUCAAAACUUAACAUGUCAAAUAAUGGUUGGAUUAUCCGCAUAUCUGGUAUAAGUACAAAAUGGCUUUGAUAAAUAAGAGAUUGCAGAGACAAUUGUUUUUUUUUUGAGAAGUAAGCGAUAUUUUCAUUUUCCAAUUUCCUGGAAUUCCCCCAUAAUGGAACAUAACUAGAAAAUCGAUGUGCCCGUUGGCGCGUGCAAUAUUUAUAUCCUGUAAUAUUAAUUAAUGGGUUUUAAAAUUUAGGUUUAAAAUACACGAUGAACAAAACUAUAACAGAUCUAUUGGUAUAUAACACAAACAUGCUAUUUAUGUUCUCUUGUCAAGUAAGAAUACAUAAGAUUUUACAUGAAUAAACUCAUUUCGUGUUAAUUGUUUAUAGAAAACUUACAAUCCACAAAACUCUUAAAUAUUUUUUUCUUAAUUUUGUGUUAGUAAAAGACUGCAGAAAGAGUAGUAACAUACGCUAGCUAGGUUUUAUUGGGUGAAUAAGUAAAUUGUUUUUAAUGAAAUUGCACGUUUUGUAUUUAAGCACUUUGAACAUAUCUUUUUUUUUCUUUUUGGAAAAAUGCACGUUCAUUUUCUCUUUUCAGGGAGAAAUACAUAUACCAAUAUGAACUCAUUCUAGGAUUAAUUGCGUUCUGCAAGAAUACCUAACGAUACACACAAUUCGUGAUAGCACUUUUCUAAAGUAUAUAUGCUAUAACCUUAACCAUAUGCUUAAAACAUAGUAAUACUAAUCUUGGUCUAUUUAAUAACUGAAAAUUACAUAUGUAUGUGCUAUGAAUUACUCGAAUACAUUUAAAUUCACUUCUUAACUUUAAAAUUGUUUUGUCUAUUUUUAUUACUUAUAGGCACUUUUUUAUAAAACGGAUAAAGUUUAAUACUACUCAUGAUUUCAGCACAUGCCGUAUAUUUUAAACCUAUAUUAAGAUGUCAGUGUAAUGUAUAGUGACGCUGAGUUACUUUUACAUGUCUAAUUUGUGCCACGUUAGGUGCACUGAGACAUUUUAGUUUAGCAUUAUCAGGGUAGCACUGAGGUCACGAUCUAUUUUUGAAAUUAGUUUUUGACACGGUUUAUUAUUAAAAUAAUUUUUAUAGAAGGAUUAAUUUGUCAAAAUUAUGCCGUAAACAUAAGUAUCCAAAUAAAUGCGUAUAGUGAUAGACCAAUCUUUUCAUCUUUUCUUUCUUCCUACGUGGGUCUACCUAGUCCAUUUAAUCAUGUGUGGCACCUGGCUAAUGAUGCUGCAUGAGCCAUGCGCAACCGUGUACAGGCGGCGUUAAGCUAGCUCGGGCUCGCUCACUCGUACAUGUUGAUAUUUCUUACGGUCACAGAUGAAAUCCGCAAGCGCACGAAGAUAUCGAAUUUUAAUAGGGAACAUGUGUGUUCAGCUCCUCUUCAUCCAAGGACACAAAGCAAAAAUAGGCAAAGGGUAGAGAGGAUUUCCUAGUGAGGAACAUUGUCUAUAGAAAGUUUAUUCAAUUCUAUCGCAAUACUUCAGGCACUAGCUUGCUCACUGCUACCAGAACGCACUAUACUCCGUACCCGAACAAGAAGGACUGCAGUGAUCUCAAGGGCUGUCACCACCUCUACACCAACUUCUAACGAACUGUGGGAUACGCAACAAUCACCGGUAAUUAACAACCUUAACAUCGCAUCUAUGCAAUUAAUUACUACUCUAGCGUUAUCUAAACACUAAAGUAAUCAUUAUCUAUUAAUUGACAAAUAGUGAACAAUGAUCCAGGAACUAAGAGAUAAUCCUCAGAAAGCAAAUCUCAAUUACUCGAUAAAGAUAAUAUCAAUUAAAGCUGAGUACUUGACAAGGUACACAAAGUAAAGAGGAAAGUACCGACAACUCUGGAAUUCCUCUGACUCUUUCUUCUUUAAUUUCUCCCUAUUCUAAUGUAAAAAAAGAUGCAAUAGAGCCUCUUAUAAUUCAGCUCAUGCUUUGGUGUGUAUUGAAAUGAAGCAUGUGAGCUCCUUUUAUAGCCUUCAUAUGACGGUUUGGCAGUUGGAAAUGUCCCAACUACCUCUCCACCGUCAUUAGGAGGCUAUCUAGAUCGUCCACGUGGAAGAAGAUGGCGAACAGCACCAAUGUCGGUUCGACCAAACCAUGGCUGGCCCAUUUGACCCAGCCUUUUCUCCUGGGCUCUGGUGGAGAAUCCCUCAACCCAUAUGUUUGGUGAAUGGGCCCAUUUGAACGUGUUUCGUUAGGUUUGUGGCCCCCAAAACUCCAUAGGCUUGAAUAUGAGUUUGAUUAUCUUCCUUCUUUAUGUAUAUUUCUUCUCAACUCUAGUAGUUUGUCACCUGCAUCUAAAUAUACGCCAACACUUGUGGAUUUUGUUAGAAAUAAACCCUACUACUAUGUUGGAUAUUUUAUAUUAUAUUUCAGUUUUAUGCAGGUAUUGACGGCGUGAAUUUGGUAUUUAACAGCCGCCAAUAGUACAUGCGUCAAAAAAUAGGGUUGUGCCACCUGUACCAACAGGCAGCUGGUAGAACAUCCAACAUGAGAAUAAUAGAUAGGAAAAUAAAGCAUAUAAGUUACAUGACAUGACAGCGUAUACAUCAUAGAGUUUCCACAAAGACAUUGGUAGCUUUUUUUUACAACUUAUAAGGCAAAGACAGUAAGUGCAAGCAACAAAAAAAUAAUAUUAGGGCAAAACAUGUUGUACUUCUAUUCUUAGCUGUCUACUUAAAGCUAAGGCUGAAAAAUAGAAAACAACCAAAAAAGGCCCAACUAAUUCUACUAUUGCUAUAUAAGCUCUAAAAUCUAAAUUCUAAUUAAUAGAAGGGGACCUUGAAUAUCUUCUGAUCUUUCGAAACCCCACAAAUAAAUCCACCUGCAGGUGGAUGCACUAUGCCACUGUUGGGCGGACAAGCUAUACAUAGAUUGUUGUCGAUGUCACCAUCUACAAAAGGGAAAUUUGAUAAAAACAAAUUUAUAAAAUGAUGGAAUUAUGACAUGAAACAUUAACAUCAGAUUAAAAAGGAAGAAAUGGCAUACCAACUUUGGUGCAAGAAAGCACAUGGUAGAUGAAUCCACCAUUAAUGAUAAGCUCAACAAAAAACCGUUGUUGUGUGGAGUGUUCCCCCGUAGAAUCGUUUAAACGUUUACAUCCCAAGAUGUUACAGUGAUACCAACGGCGCUUCUCAAACAUCAUAGGAUACAAGACCAAGUUGUUUGGAACCAUAUCAUACUCUGACGACUAAAGAAAAUAUAAUAAUUAGUACUAGCACUUUAGAAGUCAGAAUUUUGAAUGUAACAUAUGCAUAAACCAGAAAUGAGUUGGCAUAUUGUAUGGGAGGAACAAAUUGUAACACAAUUCUACUAGCCUUAUAAUAACUUCCAGAAAGGUCGUUGGAUAUCCCAUUUAUGUAAUUGAAUGGUUUCCACUUGCCAGUAGUUCCCACGAGGCCACAAACACUAAUUUUUAAACUAAGAUCCACAAAUUCUUCUGGUUUAUACCUUAAUUAAAUAAAAAAUUUAUGACGAAUAUUUGGUUCCAAUUGACAACUAUGACUGCAAGCACAUCCAACACUGAUUAUUAUUCAAAUUUGUUUCAAAUUAGAUAAGAACCGUCUGGUCUUUCUUUUAUUUUAUUCAGUGGAGCUAGCACCACCAUUAGGAGAAUUUUUUCUGGAAUUAUUUUCUUGGACCUUGUCUUCUGAUAAGUCAUAACUAGAUGAAACACACUAAAAAUCCUAAGGAACAUAAUAGGACAUACUCUAUCCAGAAGAAAUAGUUCCCCAAAAAGUUUUAUGGACUUCAAGCAAUGAUAUUGCCCCAGAUGAACUAAAUAAUGUGGCUUCUCUUUUACCUUUGCUAGUUCACCAAAUUAAAGCAUGUCAAAAGAAGUUGACUUUUGAAUGGUUAAAUGCUAUUAAAUGCAAAUUUAUGUAGUAGCAUCUGGUAAAAAGAAAUGUAAUAGCUUAACAUUUUCUCGACUUAUUUAUAAUAAUAUUAUCUUAUGACUUGUGUCUUUCCAUGCGCAAAUGACUCUGAAUAAUUUGACAUGCAUGUGUAGAAGAAUUUAAAUUAGUUUGCAGUUGCAUAAAUUCUCUAACUAUGGUCAACUGGUCAAAGAGCAUCAAUUGCAUAUACAUGUUGGUAGUUGCAUUGUGGGUAAAUCAGGUAAGAGCACUAUCACAAAGUGAAUGCAAUAUGUAAUCCGAUCGAUCUUUUGGGAAUGCUAUAUCCGUUUUUCUUUUUUACUCCAAUAUUAUAUUACAUUGAUUUUAUUAUUGACAAAGGAAAUGAUAAAAAUUCAAGAAAGGUAUCCCAAGCACUAACUAAAUGCAUUACCAUGUUUUGAGCUCUCAUGUAAACCAUAGAAGCAUUCCAGAUGCCCUUUUCCCUGUCAUCAGCAUCAUCCACAGGUCUAGCAUCGAAGAGUAAUCAUAAUUAGCAAAGUGUAAACUAUAUCGAAUUGGCAGUUACACUAAUUAAUUAAACAUGCAUGGAACUUUAAACUAUAGAAUACAUAAUCUUAUGAAUUAUUGUCAGCUUGUUUAAGAAAAAAAAAGUAAUGCAAAUGCUAUAAAUUGUAUGAGCAUUGCAUAUUUCAUAUGUAUGAUGGUUUUUAUAGUUAGCUCUACUAGAGCAGUGCCCAUUGCCCAUGACCAGCAAUAGUUUCCAAAUUAACACAAUAGUAUCACUGACCUUAUCCUAAAUACGUCGGCCAAGAUAUAGUUAUUAUCGUCAAUGUCUCAUUGUUGCAACUAUGGCUUAUAAGUAAGCCAAGAAAAAUAAACAAAGCAACCAAUUUUUGAUUAUAUAGUAAGACUUUUAUACUUUACAAAAAGCAAACCAAAUAAUAUCAUACCAACCAGCCCGGCUUUGUUAGAACACUUAUUAUUGACAUACUACCAAAUUCAUACUUCCUUGUAUUCUAUGACAGAAAGUAAUACUAUAGCUAGCUAGAGUAAACAUGAUUAAUAGCAUAUGUAAAUGAAACGAGAGGUUUAUGAACCCAAAUCAAUAAAAGCAAGAACUUAGAAAGAAAGGAUCAGGAUACGUACAUCUGUCCGAGAAUGAAAGCGAACAUAUCGACGUCGGGGGUGUUUCUCCUAUCAACAUAGAGCACGUGUCUGGGAUCUCCGUGGGCGUAGGGACACCAGUCGGGAUCUGGGACGGACCUGCCCUUCUCGUCGACGGUGAAGGGGUGGCCGAGUUUUCUCAACAACGCAUCGAACCAGUCCUCCCCAUCCUCCUCCUCCUCCUUGACAAGAUCCACAGGCUCUGAGCGCUUACUGCUGCUGCUAUUACCUCGCACGCGCUCCAUCUCCUUCGUCUGCUCGGCUUCUUCCGCAACAACAACAGCCUCCUGUCUCUCGUCAGACAUGCGCGUGCUUGGAGCCUUCGCUGUGUGAUCCCCUUCAGAUUCAGAAAAAGCCAGAUAUAAUAGGCAAAUUCGUGCGACGGUGCGAGAGCCAGAGAGCGAAGUCGGCUCGGAUUUCGUCUCCGAUUAGAAUCUGAUGCGUAUUGGGCCGGGCUGUGGACUACUACUACUUUUUUUUUCGAUAGGGCCCUUUCGCCGUUUUCUAGUGAAACCGAUCCGUUCGUGCACGCCUUCUCUCAAGAAUCAAAGAUCUGAACACGGGGCUGGACUGCUGGAGUAGAUGUGUACGUUUUGGAUUGGAUAAGGUUUUAAAUCAGACCCACUUGUUAUGGCUCUUGACAAUAGCGCACAGAUAAUUCUACUCUCUAAGUUUUAAGUUUCAUAUUAUAUAAGACGUUUGACUUUUUCUCUAGUCAAACUUCAUUUAAUUAAUUCGAUCAAAUUUAUAGAAAAAUAUAUUAAUGUUUUGAACCCAAAACAAAUAUAUUGUUAAAAUAUAUUCAAUGUUAGAUUUAACGAACUAAUUAAUAAAUGUUGCUAGAUUUUUCUAUAAACUUAGUCAAACAUAACAAAAUUUGUUUAUGAAAAAAAGUUAAACGACUUAAAAUACGAAAUAGAGGGAGUAAUAAUCAUGAAUUCGGUUUAGAGAAAAUAUAGGAUGGGAUGGUCCCGGGCCCGUUGGUAACUUGGGAUGAUUUUCGUAUCAUGUUUGGUUAUGGGGAUCAACCAUCAUUUUGGGGGUUGGAGAUACAGAGAUGGAGCACUGAGGCAUCUUACUCCCGUUUUUCGUGUUUUUUAAUUUUCCUGAACUCGAAAAUUCACAUCCGUGUUUAUUUACCUAAAAUAACUUAAUAAAAUCUUUGUAAUUGGAAAAGGUUUAAUUUUACUAAAUAAAUAAAUAAAUUAUGUCGCCUUUUAGUUUAUCGUUGAUUAAUUGGAGUUAACCUUUAAGAUAAAUUAAUUAAGGAUUUUAGGAUUAAAACAAACCUCACUGUGCUUGGCCAUGGGAAACGCUGCCCACGUGCAUGCAUCAACGGAGCACAAGAAAAUGAAGAGAGUAGCAACAUCCAGGUAAUUCUAGAAACAUCCGCGCGAAAAGAAAAUGAUAAAUGUUAAAGAAAAGGUACCCUGAUUCCAAGGUCGACUUAUUCAAUCCAUUUUUAUCUUCUUCAAUAAGAUGAAUCUAGAAUUUUUCAAUAAGAAAGAAAAUCCAGAAAAAAAUUGUGAAGAUGCCAAAAAUAAUAAAGCUUCCCUCCUCUUCACAACAGUCAUCCUCUCCUUCACUGGUAUCCUUCACUGAUAGAGAAAUCAUCUUUACUCCCGGUUUAUAACCCCUGUAGUCCCAGGGCUUAAGUCCCGGGUGAAAUAAUCGAGAGUAAACAUCGAUCUUUAAUCCCAGUUGGUAACCAACCGGGACUAAAGAGAGGGAUCUUUAGUCCCGGUUAAUGCUACCAACCGAGACUAAAGAGAGGAUAGGGGCAGUCCCGGUUGGUCCAUUUUCUUUUUAUUUUCUCCCAAAUCAAGUGGGAUGUAUAUACCCAGAUCAAACAACAAAUCCCCAAAUCGAGUGUCAUGCAUAUAUCUAAAUCAAACCCUAAAUCCCCAAAUUCAAAGUAACAUCACAAAUCAUUCACAUCACAAAUACAAAUCCUAUGUUACUUACACACAAAUCAAAUACAUCACAAAUCUUAAAAAAAUUACACACAAAUCAAAUACAUCACAGAUCGGUUAUAGAAAGUAUACAUCUCUCAAUCACAAAUUAUAAAAAAAAGGAAAGGAGAGCCGGCGCGCUGCCGCUCCAUGCGCGGCCCCGCCGUCCGCGCCGCGCGCUGCCCCACCGCCCGUCGCGCGCUGUGCCUCGCCGCCCGGCCACCGCGUGAGGGCGCGCGAGGCCACCUCCGUCGCCGCCCGGCCACCGUGUGAGGGCGCCUCCGCGCUUCCCGGCCGCGCGAGGCCGCCUCCGCGGUCGCCCGGCCGCCGCCGCCUGAGAAGUGGGGAGGAGACGGGAGGGGGCGGAUCCAGAGGAGGUUGAGAAGUUGGGAGGAGAGGGGAGGAGGCGGAUCCAGAAGAGGUAGAGGAAGAGAUGGGAGGAGGAAGAGGAAGAGAUGGGGUGAGUGAGGAGAGGAGGAGAUAAAGGUCAGAGCUUAUUAACUGAUCCUCCCGUGCGCCUCGGUCCUCUCGAUCUCGCACCACGCAUGUCGAUCUUUUUUUUCGGUUGGUAACACCAACCGAGACUAAAAAUAGAUCUUUAGUCCCGGUUGGUGUCACCAACCGUGACUAAAGAUAACGGAGGGGUCUGACACCACCUGCUGUCUUUUAAACCGGGACUAAAAAUGAUCUUUAGUCCUGGUUGAUGUUACCAACUGGGACUAAAGAUCAAAAAAGUAGCUCUAACCUUUUGAACCGGGACUAAAGAUGUCCCAGUUUUUAGUGGAACCGGGACUAUUGUGGAUUUCGGCCGACCGACCAAAGAUGGUUUCUCCACCAGUGCUUCCAUGUUUGCAUCCGGUCCAUUGGUCAUAGAUCUGAUGUCAACAUGCCAUUAUCACUGCCACCGGUGAGCUACAAUCACUUCCGG
rnacentral:lncRNA from 1 species